UACGUAGGCAGCGAGCGUUGUUCGGAAUUACUGGGCGUAAAGAGUGUGUAGGCGGUGCUCUAAGUUCGGUGUGAAAUCUCCUGGCUCAACUGGGAGGGUGCGCCGGAAACUGGAGUGCUUGAGCGUGGGAGAGGAAAGCGGAAUUCCUGGUGUAGCGGUGAAAUGCGUAGAUAUCAGGAGGAACACCUGUGGUGUAGACGGCUUUCUGGACCAUAGCUGACGCUGAGACACGAAAGCGUGGGUAGUAAACAGG
rnacentral:rRNA from 1 species